CAAAACACCAGGCCGUCGCCACUCUCCCUUGCAAAACACGCGUUGCCGCCCUCUCCUCCCAAAACGCUGCCGCGCGCGCUCUGGCCGCCAUUGGCCUCCCGAAUUCUUCCCCACGCGCCCUUGGCCUCCCGAAAUCUUCCUCGCCUGCUCGCUCUUGUUCUUCCCCAAACCUUCCUCGCCCGCGCAUCCACCCGCACGCCACUUCAUUUGUCUUCUCAAUCUCGCCCUCCCACCUGCUGUGCCUCCCAUCUUGCCUCGCCGUCUCUACCACUCACCAGCAGGUCGCCCCCCAAAUCCACUUCGCCGUCGCUGCCCGUCAACCAGCAGGUCUGCCCCCAAUCCACCUCGCCGUCGCUGCCCCUCUGCAGCAAGUCUCCCCUAAUCGACCUCCCCAUCACUGCCUCUGACCAGCAGCAGCAGGUCGCCCCCAAAUCCACCCCAAUCCAAGUCACCGUCACAGCCUCUCACCACCACCAGCAGGUCGCCCCCAAUCCACCUCGUCGUCGCUGCCCCUCACCAGAAGAUUCACCCUCAAUAAUCCACCUUGCCGCAGACCAGAUCUCCACCGCUGCGCCAGCUGUUCCCAAGAUGAUGACUCCGCUCCCAGGCAGCAGUUCCUCCCACGGUGGCAGUCAAGAGCAGCAGAGGCUCGGUCAGCUACUGCUUCCCCAACCCCAUCCAAAUCUGUACAACAGCCCGUUCCUCCGGUGCUCUCCCACAGCAGCCCCUCCUGUAGACUGAAGGAGGAAAAAUGUCAAGCGCGAGAAGAAACAAUGAGGAUUAAUGAGUAUGAACAGCAAAAGCUUGCAAACAAUGCAAAAAUCAAAGAAAGGCUGGACUCUCUUAAACUUCCUACUAUGAACACCUUGGUGCUGCCUCGGCAACCUAACAAAAGAAGAAAUAAAACUCAUCACAUAAGUGAUGCAGCAACUGAAGGUCACAAUUUGCAACCAAGGGCACGAAGAAAUAAUAGUGAGGUUGCAGAUGAGCAUAUUGCUCGUGAUCCUAACCAUGACACAAUUGGAGAUUUCUUAUGUGACAAUUGGAGAUCUCUCAGCCCCUCCACCAAUCGAUCCUUGAUCCGCCUCAUAUGGCCCUAGCAGCCAACAAGCUCCCGCCGCUUCUCCAUUAGGUUGUAUUGAAACAUGAGAUUGAUGUUCGACAAUGCCUUAAAGUGAUGUCUACAUGUAGAAAACUGGCACGGUCUCCAUUCUUGAAAGAUGAAGCACAUUUUUGUUUAUUUUGGCGAAGGAAAGUAUGGCAGGUCUUGUCUGCAUCUUUACAGCAUAAUGACUCUCUCCUAACAUCCUAGGACUUGGGAGUUUAUCUUGUUAGUGUAUAGUAUAAUGUUGGUUACAUGUUUUCUUGCAUCUCUCUUUCUCCUUUACUCUAUGAUAGAAACACUUUUAUUGCUUGUUCCUUUUCAAGUGGUCCUUCAGGGUUUAGAAUUUCACACUUAGUUGUUUUUGCAUAAGCAGAACAGUAGCACUGAGCAUAAUGCAAAUCAUGUGUUUUGUAAUCAGUUCAACUUAUAUAGUUAUUAUGUGUUGUACAUGUGUGCUAAUGACCUCAUGACCUGAUAGAUGCUGAGAACCUUUGUUAGAUGAAACCUUUGCUUUUAGAAACUAGAGUUUUUGCUAUAUGACUAUACACUGCCUGCUAUUGAAUGUAAGCUACUGCAAAUAAUUACAGCAUCUUAUAACUCAAUUUGAUACAGAUAAAUUGUGAUGUUUUCAGGUUCCUAACUAAAAGAGAAACAGCAAGAACAUGAAGAGCUAGUGUCUUGGACAUGACACAUGUGCAAUUACUGUUCUUGCGCUCAACCCUAGGCCUUGUGAGCAGGGGCAGACCUACGUUGAAGCUAGUGAGGGCACAGGCCCUCACUCAAAUCCUAACGCCAGCGGAAGAUCACAGAUAUUCACCAUGCAUGUUUAUUUAUUUUCUGUGAUCCAAUAGAGUAUGCCCUCACUCAGAAUUUAGUCCGAGUCUGCCCCUGCUUGUGAGAAGAUGCAGAUGUGUGUCGAAAGUGCUUGAGGCUGCUAGUGGAGGAAGGGAUGCAUGCUAGUCCUAUCUAGUUAUUUCUGCUGGAGCUACUGUGUCAACUUUUAGUGUAUUCAAAUGUAUGGGUCAACAAGCAUUCUGUAUGUAUUCAUAUAAAAUUUGUUUCAAAUUGUGAUGAUUGUUUGAAUGGGCCUGGGCUAUUGAUAAUUUUCAAAAUAA